rnacentral:lncRNA from 1 species
UGGCAAAUUACUCUCAAAAGAUUCAAGCAAAAAAAAAUUCUUUAUAUCUUCUCAGAUACAACUUUUCUAUAAGUUUGAGACUAUUUAAAAAAAAAUUUCAUUUUCAGUUUAAAAAUUGAGCAUAGGAACACUAGCGGGUCGUACUGAACAGCAAACGUUCUUUCCUUCCCUGGUGUGAAGCACCGGCCCAGUCCGUUGCCCUGCCAACGUGGUUCCUCUUUCCUCACCUGCCGCUCUCUUGGCAUGAAAAUCCUGAAAUGACAGGGUGACAGCCACAGCUUGAAUUUUAAUGGGGCUUUUAUUGUGCCCCCAGAUGCAAAUGUGGAAAUGUUUGCCCUGCGGGAACAGAACCCCUAGAAUUGCAGACCCUGAAGUUGCAAGCACGUAUUUCACUGGGCGGUUGAUUUGCUGGGAUCACUGUGGUGCUGGGAGGCAGGACCAUGCUUUCCUCCACCCUUGUUCCCAGACACAGACAUCAUACCUGCUGGAAACAUCACACCACUUAAUGGUCAUCCCUCAAGGAAAUGGGUCAAGCAGAGAGGAAACUGUAAAUACCAAAGCUCUGAAGAGAGGAGAGAGCGGAGAACACAGCGGUGACCCAAUUCACUCACCGCACACGCGUGUAUUGGCGGCCCCUCUAAAAGGGGUACACCGGCACCUCCCAUGCAAAGAGUUCGAGAGCCAGUGGAGCACACAGUCUUCUCCAGAACUUUCCAUGAUGAAAGACAGAUGCCAUCUGCCCAUUCAGGAAGGUACAGUGAGAUGCUCUCCCGAGCUCCGCAUGCUAGUGUGA